rnacentral:rRNA from 1 species
UACGAAGGUGGCAAGCGUUACUCGGAAUGACUAGGCGUAAAGGGCAGGUAGGCGGCUCGAAAAGUCUGCUGUGAAAGCUCCCGGCUUAACUGGGAGAGGCCAACAGAUACUAUCGGGCUUGAGUAUGGGAGAGGGUACUGGAAUUCCCGGUGUAGCGGUGAAAUGCGCAGAUAUCGGGAGGAACACCGAUGGCGAAAGCAAGUACCUGGACCAUUACUGACGCUCAGCUGCGAAAGCUAGGGGAG